rnacentral:lncRNA from 8 species
AUGCAGGAUCGUAUGGAGUGGAGGGCGCCGAGUUUUGCAGAAGUGCGCACGAUCUCGCCCAUACACACGCACAGUCCAGUGCGAGUUAUCCUAGCCCCUUGCAGAUGCCGUGCUAGAGUGGGCAUCCAGCCUGGUAGGAGGAUGCCUGCGCAGCGCGUCUGGUCACUGGUGCGCCUCCGAGGACCAGGCUACCCUACGCCCGCUCUACGCACGGAAACCAUCAGGCCCCUGCACAGCCCAGUUCGCCCUGUACUAGCACCCCGCUUGUACAGGGUUACUAGUUCCAUCCAGCCAGGACCGGUUGUGCAGGAGGUGCGAUCGAGACCGCCUGUGCGCCUCCACGACCCAGUAUAUCCACAGCCAGCAUCACGCACCGGGCCUCCAGUGCGUCAGCCCAGUCCGGCUCAGCCUGUUCCCGCUCCCCGCACUAGCCCUGAGGUGCGUGUCCCCAAACUGGAAUUUCCAGUACCAGCACCACACAUCAGGCUUCCAGUGCGGCAGCCCAGCCUCGAGCGUCCGACAACAGUGCCCCGUCCAGAGCGUCCGACAACAGUGCCCCGUCCAGAGCGUCCGACAACAGUGCCCCGUCCAGAGCGUCCGGUAAGAGUGUCUAGCCCGGAACCGAGUGAGACGGCCCGCAGUCCGGAACCGAGAGAGUCUGCCCGCAGUCCGGAACCGAGUGAGUCUGCCCGCAGUCCGGAACCGAGUGAGUCUGCCCGCAGUCCGGAACCGAGUGAGUCUGCCCGCAGUCCGGAACCGAGUGAGUCGGCCCGCAGUCCGGAACCGAGUGAGUCGGCCCGCAGUCCGGAACCGAGUGAGUCGGCCCGCAGUCCGGAACCGAGUGAGCUGGCCCGCAGUCCGGCAAGAAGGACCUUGGUCAUGGAGGUGACCAAGAAUGCAACGACCACUCUGACAGAACUACAUAGUUCCUUGGCUGAGAUGGGAGAACCUGCCAGAAGGACAAGUCUCUACCACGCUUCACCAAUCUGGCCUUUAUGGGAGAGUGGCCAGACAGAAGCCAACCCUGAGAAAAAGGCACGACAGCAUGCCUGGAUUUUCCAAAAAUGUAUGUGA